GGGGAAGCUUUGCUUCCCGGAUGUUAGCGGCGGACGGGUGGAGUAACGCGUGGGUAACCUGCCUGUAAGACUGGGAUAACUCCGGGAAACCGGAGCUAAUACCGGAUAGUUCCUUGAACCGCAUGGUUCAAGGAUGAAAGACGGUUUCGGCUGUCACUUACAGAUGGACCCGCGGCGCAUUAGCUAGUUGGUGAGGUAACGGCUCACCAAGGCGACGAUGCGUAGCCGACCUGAGAGGGUGAUCGGCCACACUGGGACUGAGACACGGCCCAGACUCCUACGGGAGGCAGCAGUAGGGAAUCUUCCGCAAUGGACGAAAGUCUGACGGAGCAACGCCGCGUGAGUGAUGAAGGUUUUCGGAUCGUAAAGCUCUGUUGUUAGGGAAGAACAAGUGCAAGAGUAACUGCUUGCACCUUGACGGUACCUAACCAGAAAGCCACGGCUAACUACGUGCCAGCAGCCGCGGUAAUACGUAGGUGGCAAGCGUUGUCCGGAAUUAUUGGGCGUAAAGGGCUCGCAGGCGGUUUCUUAAGUCUGAUGUGAAAGCCCCCGGCUCAACCGGGGAGGGUCAUUGGAAACUGGGAAACUUGAGUGCAGAAGAGGAGAGUGGAAUUCCACGUGUAGCGGUGAAAUGCGUAGAGAUGUGGAGGAACACCAGUGGCGAAGGCGACUCUCUGGUCUGUAACUGACGCUGAGGAGCGAAAGCGUGGGGAGCGAACAGGAUUAGAUACCCUUGGAAGUCCA
rnacentral:rRNA from 1 species